GACGUAGGGCGCGAGCGUUGUCCGGAUUUAUUGGGCGUAAAGAGCUCGUAGGCGGUUUGUCGCGUCGUUCGUGAAAACUCACAGCUUAACUGUGAGCUUGCGGUCGAUACGGGCAAACUGGAGUGUUGCAGGGGAGACUGGAAUUCCUGGUGUAGCGGUGAAAUGCGCAGAUAUCAGGAGGAACACCGGUGGCGAAGGCGGGUCUCUGGGCAACAACUGACGCUGAGGAGCGAAAGCGUGGGGAGCGAACAGG
rnacentral:rRNA from 1 species